GAAUCAAAGGCACAAGGACAGGCUGGGCACAGUGGCUCAUGCCUGUAAUCUCAGCACUUUGGGAGCCCAAGGCCCAGUCCCAAGGUGCAAGGCCACUUGUGCUAGCAGCAUGCGUCAGCAAGAUAGCAGAAGCAGGAAGAGAGCUGGCCGGAAGAUAUGUACCCUGUGAAGACCGAGAGAGAGGCCGUCCAGGUACCACGUAGCAGUUACAUCAGACUGAGACACUUCCUGUUUACAGGAGACUAUAAAACCCCUGCCCCAUCCUCAUUUGGUGCUGAUGCCAUUUUCAGCCUCAGCACGCCUGCACCCAGGCGCUCAUUAAAACAGCAUGUUGCUCCCCACUGCCUCGUGUUGUCUGUUGGCGCGCUGUCGGGGUUCGAACCGAUACAAGAACCUUCCACCUACCUGGUGCUUUGGCCUCAUCUAUAAGCAGCUUUUCCACUGUCCUGAAACAAGAUAGAGAAUCUGAGCGGCCAGUCAUCUGCCCUAAGUGCUGCCGCCGAAGACUGAAUGUCCUGGAAAGUUUGCUGUCACAUCUCCAUUAUGACAAAAGCAUUGUGCCGAACAGAUGAAAAAAUGCAUUGUCAACGGAAUCUUUUAUGUUUGUUUGUCUUCCUUUAAGCAACAUUGCCUUACUUGUUAUAAAAGAUAAAUAAAUAUUUGUUCAUUUCAA
rnacentral:lncRNA from 10 species